CCUACGGGAGGCUGCAGUGAGGAAUAUUGGUCAAUGGGCGGAAGCCUGAACCAGCCAAGUAGCGUGCGGGAUGAAGGCCCUACGGGUCGUAAACCGCUUUUGCACGGGGAUAACACCCUCCACUUGUGGAGGUCUGCAGGUACCGUGCGAAUAAGGGCCGGCUAAUUCCGUGCCAGCAGCCGCGGUAAUACGGAAGGCCCGAGCGUUAUCCGGAUUCAUUGGGCUUAAAGGGAGCGUAGGCGGGCGUUCAAGUCAGCUGUAAAAUCGCGCGGCUCAACCGCGCCCCGCAGUUGGAACUGGACGCAUUGAGUUCACAACAGGCAGGCGGAAUUCGUGGUGUAGCGGUGAAAUGCAUAGAUAUCACGAGGAACCCCGAUUGCGAAGGCAGCCUGCCGGGGUGCGACUGACGCUGAGGCUCGAAGGUGCGGGUAUCAAACAGGAUUAGAUACCCCUGUAGUC
rnacentral:rRNA from 1 species